GACGAACGCUGGCGGCGUGCUUAACACAUGCAAGUCGAACGGUAAGGCCCUUCGGGGUACACGAGUGGCGAACGGGUGAGUAACACGUGGGUGAUCUGCCCUGCACUUCGGGAUAAGCCUGGGAAACUGGGUCUAAUACCGGAUAGGACCACUGCCUGCAUGGGUGGUGGUGGAAAGCUUUUGCGGUGUGGGAUGGGCCCGCGGCCUAUCAGCUUGUUGGUGGGGUGAUGGCCUACCAAGGCGACGACGGGUAGCCGGCUUGAGAGGGUGACCGGCCACACUGGGACUGAGAUACGGCCCAGACUCCUACGGGAGGCAGCAGUGGGGAAUAUUGCACAAUGGGCGCAAGCCUGAUGCAGCGACGCUGCGUGAGGGAUGACGGCCUUCGGGUUGUAAACCUCUUUCAGCACCGACGAAGCGCAAGUGACGGUAGGUGCAGAAGAAGGACCGGCCAACUACGUGCCAGCCGCCGCAGUAA
rnacentral:rRNA from 1 species